UGAUGGUGAUAAAAAUGGGGGAAUCAAUGACUCCUCUGUAUAUAACACAUCCAACAGUAACUUGGGCUAACUUCUCAUGGGUGGCAAUAUACUCUGAUCUUCCUGUGACAUUAUGCCCUACACAU
ensembl:snoRNA